UAUGUUUAUUAUGCUAUUAAAAUUAAAAAAAUAAUUUAUAAGAAAUGUAAAAACCCAGAAUGCAGUUAUUAGAUUAUUAUGGUUUUCGUUAUCGGCUUGUUUAUUAAAUGUAUUAAACGUAUAGAUUAUUAUCGAUCUACAUAUAGCUUGCAGUACCAAUACGGUCAGUAUACCUAUAACAUUGAUAUCGACCAUUUCAAAAUUUAAGUUUUAGUGUUGUAAUUUGAAAUCUCUUGUAUGAAGUAUGCACCAAUCACUUUAGUGGAUGUAGAGAGUUCAUUUUCUACGUAUAAAAAUAUUCUGUCGGACAAUAGAGUCAGUUUCACUACUAAAAAUCUAGGAAAAUACAUGACAUUUUGUUUGGAAAUAUGGUAUGAGCAACGAGUUGAUAGCUUGAUCACAAAGACGUAGAACCAAUACCAGGGUUACUGAAUUGCGGUCCAUAGACGAAUUUUAUCUGCCCUGGAGGUUUGGUUUUGGUUUUAAUUUCUUUGGAGAAAUAUGUACAUUAAAUAUUUAUGGUCCCUUAAAAUUGCAUGUUUUUCUAAAGAAGCCUUCCGAAAAUAUUAAUUUAUGAUCCCUGGUCUAUACCAUAUAAUUUACCUAUUUGGUAUAAUGUAUAUAAUAUACUAUAAUUUAGAAAACGGGAAAACGUUUGUCGAUUUAGGUAUAAUGGUAUAUCAUAUUAUGAUUCCGAUUAAAUACGUGCAGCGCGUGGCACGCAAUCAAUCGAACACACAUCGGCUGCAAAUAGGUGGUAACUGAUAACUGAUAAGUAUUCGAAAUUAAUUAAUAUAAUACCGACUUAUUUAGGUCGUCGUGUUCUCGUGUACCUACCUAAUUAUAACAACAAUAUUGUAUUAUAUUAAACUUACAAUUAUUGUUAAAUAGUAUGUUAUUAUAAUAUAAUAUGCAAACGUGCCUUAAAAACGAUUGUAUAGUUACUUAUUUAUAAUAUUAUAAUUUAUAAGACAUGUAUAUUACACUG